GUUAUUUUGGCAGAUUAGUGCAAUGAAUUUAGGAUUCAUGUAUGUAAUACAUAUUACAGAUAACA
rnacentral:tRNA from 1 species